rnacentral:rRNA from 1 species
UACGUAGGGUGCAGGCGUUAAUCGGAAUUAUUGGGCGUAAAGGGCGCGUAGGCGGCUUUUCAAGUGACGGGUGAAAUCCCUCGGCUUAACCGAGGAACUGCCUGUCAGACUGGAAGGCUUGAGACCGGGAGAGGUGAGUGGAAUUCCCAGUGUAGCGGUGAAAUGCGUAGAUAUUGGGAGGAACACCAGUGGCGAAGGCGGCUCACUGGACCGGUACUGACGCUGAGGCGCGAAAGCGUGGGGAGCAAACAGG